AUCUGGUAUAUUAUUAGUUCCUCGACAUGUUAUUCAAAAAAACACUAAUUUAUUGUGUUUUAUUUUUAAUUUAUUUGAUUUCUUCAAGUACUGCAGGGAUGUGGAAAAGAAUAUGGAUGUAAUGACUUUUGCAAUUAUUUUAAGGUGUAUGAGUCUUGUCCUUUAGUUAAACCACCAUGUUUUUGUAACAUAAGUAAAUAAUUUGGGACCUUUUAGUUUUGUCCAA